UUAAUAUUUAUGAUAUUGAUUAAUAAUUUUGUCAGCCAGUUUUGAAUCAAGUAGCAAGUUAUACACGUAUAACCGCUUAAGAUGGUUGUGACAGGUGAAAUGAUAUCGUCUAUUGCCGAGAGCCAUAUUGGUUCUGAUGACUGGAGUAAUGAUUCAUCGUCUGAAACAGGACCUGGAACUGAUAAAUGCCACUUUUUUGUGGCUGAUGUUAUUGAACAAGCUGGCGGAAGUGUACCUAAAAAGUGGCUAGGAAUAGGAGGACCCAUUGGAGUAAAAGAGUGGGGAGAUCCAAAAUCGGAAUUUUUACUGGGCGAUGACAACUGGGAAUUGGUGAAAACCCAACCGGAAGAAGGUGACGUGUUCUCAAAUGGUAAACAUGUCGCCAUCUUGACCGGCUAUAGAACGUCAACUCACGCUGGUAAAGAUAAAAUUGUCCGCGACAAUUGGGGAUUUAAACCAGGAAAGAGUCCGAAGGAUUACACGUUUUGGCGAUACAAAAAUUAGGUGAAAAGCUGUGAAAGAUUUAAAUUAUAAAUCAAAUAGUUAUAACCGCUUGCUAGUAAUAAAUGAAUGUAGCUGAUACAUAUCCAUGUAGCUUAUAGUAAUAAUAUAAUACAUUUGAUUUCAA